AGGCCUUAUACAUGCAAGUCGAGCGAGUAAAGUAUCUUCGGAUAUGAGUAAAGCGGCGGACGGGUGAGUAACGCGUAGGAAUCUACCUAGUAGAAGGGGAUAGCCCGGGGAAACUCGGAUUAAUACCGUAUACCUCCUUUGGGAGAAAGAGGGCCUCUCUUUGAUGCUCUCGCUACUAGAUGAGCCUGCGUAAGAUUAGCUAGUUGGUGAGGUAAUGGCUCACCAAGGCGACGAUCUUUAGCUGGUCUGAGAGGACGAUCAGCCACAUUGGGACUGAGACACGGCCCAGACUCCUACGGGAGGCAGCAGUAGGGAAUAUUGGACAAUGAGCGCAA
rnacentral:rRNA from 1 species